rnacentral:rRNA from 1 species
GACGAACGCUGGCGGCGUGCUUAACACAUGCAAGUCGAACGGAAAGACCCUGCUUUUGUGGGUUGCUCGAUUGGCGAACGGGUGAGUAACACGUGAGUAACCUGCCCUUGACUUUGGGAUAACUUCAGGAAACGGGGGCUAAUACCGGAUAGGAGCUCCUGCUGCAUGGUGGGGGGUGGAAAGUUUCGGCGGUUGGGGAUGGUCUCGCGGCUUAUCGGCUUGUUGGUGGGGUAGGGGCUUACCAAGGCUUUGACGGGUAGCCUGCACGGGAGGGUAACCGGCGUCAUUGCGCCUACGAUAGGCAGCAGUGUGCUAUGUGAGGCAGUAGUGGGGAGUAUUGCACAGUCAGAGCACGCGUGAUGAAGAGACGCCGCGUGCGUGAUGCCGUCUUUUGGGUUAUAAACAGCUGUCGCCUGUGACGAAGCGUGAGUGACGGUACUGGGUAAAGAAGCACCGGCUAACUACGUG